rnacentral:tRNA from 1 species
GCCGGUGUAGCUCAAGUUCGGCAGAGCGCACGUCUCCAAAACGUGGAGAUGGAGGUUCGAGUCCUUCCGCCGGUGCCA